UACGUAGGGGGCAAGCGUUGUCCGGAUUUAUUGGGUUUAAAGGGUGCGUAGGCGGGCUAUUAAGUCAGUGGUGAAAGCCCCAAGCUUAACUUGGGAACUGCCAUUGAUACUGAUGGUCUUGAGUACAUUUGAGGUGGGCGGAAUGUGUCAUGUAGCGGUGAAAUGCUUAGAUAUGACACAGAACACCGAUUGCGAAGGCAGCUCACUAAACUGUAACUGACGCUGAGGCACGAAAGCGUGGGGAGCAAACAGG
rnacentral:rRNA from 1 species